GAGCGGGCAUAGCAAUAUGUCAGCGGCAGACGGGUGAGUAACGCGUGGGAACGUACCUUUUGGUUCGGAACAACACAGGGAAACUUGUGCUAAUACCGGAUAAGCCCUUACGGGGAAAGAUUUAUCGCCGAAAGAUCGGCCCGCGUCUGAUUAGCUAGUUGGUGAAGUAAUGGCUCACCAAGGCGACGAUCAGUAGCUGGUCUGAGAGGAUGAUCAGCCACAUUGGGACUGAGACACGGCCCAAACUCCUACGGGAGGCAGCAGUGGGGAAUAUUGGACAAUGGGCGCAAGCCUGAUCCAGCCAUGCCGCGUGAGUGAUGAAGGCCCUAGGGUUGUAAAGCUCUUUUGUGCGGGAAGAUAAUGACGGUACCGCAAGAAUAAGCCCCGGCUAACUUCGUG
rnacentral:rRNA from 1 species